rnacentral:lncRNA from 1 species
AUCUCUUGGAGUUCUAGCUCACCUUUCUGGUGUUGUUCUUGUAUUCAUCUGUUUAAUCUAGUUCUGCCACUUCUUCUUGAACUUCUUGUUAGAUUUCAAGUCUGUAUUUUGUGUCCGUGACAAUAUGUGUGUGUGUGUAAUGACCAUUGAUUUAUUUAUUUUAAAAACUCAAUGUAAGAAGAACAAAAAAAUAAAUAAACAUGAUCAUUUUAGACUUACAUAUCAUAUUAUUAAUAAACAAGUAUCGUAAAUCCCAUCAAUGGAUCUUAAUUAGUGG